UCUUCCGCGGCAUAUGGAAUGGUACAGAUGUUGCCAUCAAAGUUUUUCUAGAACAAGAUCUUACAGCUGAAAAUAUGGAAGAUUUCUGUAAUGAAAUAUCCAUACUGAGCCGUCUUCGGCACCCAAAUGUUAUAUUAUUUCUUGGUGCAUGCAUGAAACCUCCUCAUUUGUCAAUGGUUACUGAAUACAUGGAGAUGGGAUCAUUGUAUUAUCUUAUACAUUUGAGCGGCCAGAAAAAGAAACUCAGUUGGCGUAGGAGAUUGAAAAUGCUCCGUGACAUCUGCAAGUGAGGGAACACUGAACUGAAUAUGGGUCAUGUGCCCGUUUUCUGCAAUGGAAUUAGAUUUUGGAAGAAGGUCUGGGAUUUUUUUUGUCGUCGUGAGAGGGGAGAUGGGAGACACCAAGUGCCGUCCAAUCAGUCAUAUAGACAAAAAAUAGUGGGAUAUGAAAUUUGGCUUGUAGACCAACUUAGUAAGUCAUGGGUCAUCCGUUCUGACUAGAGGUCAAUUGCAAGUCUUUCAAGCCAUGGGUCACCCAGCACCUCAUAAUUAUGAUAUGACCAAAUUAGAUUUGCCCAAAUUCUUUCCCAAAAGCACAAAAAAGUGGACCCGAUUCGGACCCGAACCCGAUCCGACUUGGACCCGGAUCCGAUCCAGACCCGAACCCGAUCCGACUCGGAUCCGGAUCCGAUCCAGACCCGACCCGACCCGACCCGAUCUUCAACUGGGUCGGGUCUGGGUUCAAAAUUAGGACCCGAACAAAAAACCGGGUCGGAUUGGGGUCACCCGACCUGACCCAUUUGCACCCCUAUGUAAGGCUCUUGAUUAAAAUUAAGAUUACUUUGUUUUUAUCAUAUAAUAUACUUGCAUGUUACCUUAGAGGAUGAUAUCCUACUUCAUGUAUGCUAUGAUGUUGCCCUUAAAUUUGUAUUUGUUGCAUUAGGGCAGCUCCCUUAAUUUUUCUCUUCUAUCUCAUAAAAUUAAAGCAUUUAGAUUUUUGGAGUCAUCUUUAGUGGUUUGUCAUGAGGAAACUCAUUUUGCGAGCCAAUCUACUUCCAAGCUCCAAUGCUGGAUGUAAUCAACUUGUGAUUCAUGGAAGACUGUCGUGGUCCUCUUGCGACCAUUCCAACAAUUUUUGGGCACUUUCCUGGUCUUCUUUCUAUCCUAUAGUAGUAUUGGGUAGACUUAUUAGUAUUUUUGAGAAUUAUGAGGCAUACAACCUUCUUCCUCUCAGAUCUUGGUGUAAUUUCUUUAUCUCCAUUCUGUAAAUUGAUGCAUGGCCACUUUUCUGAAGCCGAUUCAGUUCUGUAAGUGUUGCCAAUAAAUCCUGAAAAGAAUUGUCUAUUAUGACUGAGGUAUGAUCUUCCCCUUAAAACCAUAAUAAACUAUGCAUAACCUUUGUAUUUUCACUUACAUUUUUUUUAGUCCACUCUCAUGGCAUCCUAAAUCUUGUUAUUUGGUUGCAUUCCAUUGGGUACUGUUGCAAAGUAUAUUGGCCGUCCGCUAGAACUUACUUUCAAUCCUAUUGGUUUUCAUUAAGACAAUGAUUGAUGCUUGCAAUGUUUUAAAUAUCUGUGGGACGACUGGGCAUCUCACCGUUCCUAGUGUCGGUAUGGUAUGUGGGAUGAGUCAGGAAAUGGCUUGUGAUGGGAUGGGACAUCCACUAUCUCAAGUGUUUGUAGGUGGGGGGUGUCUUGUUCCAUUGAAAAUUGAGACAGUCCCAUCCUACAUUAUUUACAACCUUGGUUACUUGUUUGGUAAUUUUGCAUUAUGUUAUCGAAAUAGAAAAUUGAGACAUUCCCAUACCACAGUAUGUAAAACCUUGGAUGUUUGUCUGGUGGUUUCAUGUUAUUGUCUCUUGUGCCCUAUAGAUGUGGAUCUGCUAUAUAGGCUACAACUGUCUGAUUUCUGGUAGCUUUUAAGGAUUGGCAUCAUUCAGUAUCUAUUGUUUUAAAUUAUACAUGAAUGGAUAAGGUUCACUCAAGGUCGGAGGAACCGAUACCGAGCACCGUACCGGUUAUCCGGCUGCACGAGUCGGUACAAGCUGUGGGAGCCGUACCGACGAGGGCACAAUACUAUGGGAGAGAGGAAGAGAGAGAGAGAGAAGGGGGAAAGACGCCGGCGGAGGCCACGGCAGGAGAGGUCGUGGCCGGUUCCUCUGUUUCGAACGAAACAGAGGUCCAGCCGCGGCUUAAAAUUUUUUAGAAUUUUUAAGUGAAGUCAGUAAAUCAAUUGAACACUUUUAUGAGAAACACUUUAUAUUAUAAUUCUACAGUGCAAUUUUCACGAAUUGAAACCCAUCUUUGCCAAGUCCUGAGUGUGGCAACAAUUACAAUGAAUCAUUGGCCUGAUUUUAAUAUGAUCAGUUGCCGCAGAAACACAUAAUUGUCAAUUUAAACCUCGAGUCAUGUAAUCAUAAAAUGAUGGAUCUUUUGGAGCAAGUAAGUUGCAUUCUAAAUUCAAAUUUUGUAGCUUACAACUCAAAAUCGUUAUACAGAUCACUUCCAUCAUCCCAUAAUAUAUAACAUAGCUCAUUACGUCAUAUUACAUAUAGAUAUAUUAUACUAUUCUUAUCUCACUACUAAUAGGCAACUAGAAGCCUUAAAUUUAAAUGCAAAUAUUGCCAAGUCUCUCUACUGUAGAAAAGUGGCCUUAUUAUGAAUACCAAAACAUUUGAGGCUUGUUAAUAGUAUAAUACCAAGCAGUCUCUCACUUUGAAAUAUAACAAAUAUAGGUAGGUAAGCUAUACAAGUAUCCAACAUAACAAACAAUAUCAAGGUUCAUCAUUCAAUGCAUAUCGUCUUGUACCAAGCAUAACCUUACAAUACCGAUACCAAACCAGUACUCAGUACAGGGACAUAUCGAGUGUCAGUACGUUGAACUGGCAUUUUACUAAUGUGAUAUCAAUAUGGACAUUGAAACCAGUAUUACGAACCUGGAACAAUAUAGUUUUCCAAAAAAGUAGAAUGAUAGAAGCAAUAAUGACCAGUACUAAUUGAAACUCAAAAAGUCAUGAAACAUUAUCUUAUAAGAGUUAUCAAAUAAGUGCAUUAGCCAAGAUAGCUUACUUGUAAAACAUUAAAAACACUUAAAACAAAUAGUACAAUCAAAAACAUAUCUUUAUUCAUAUAGUUGAAAACACUAGUUUCAAAGCAUUGAAUACACUUGGAGUUUCUUCGUAAAGUCAAUUCAGUAUUAACUGGUUAGCAAUCAUCAUAUCUCAUGCCGGUUGCUCAAGGGUUUACUGAUGAAUGGGCCCACUAACUAAAGAUUCACUUGUACCAACUAUUAUACUAGCGGGUCAAGAUUGAUGCGUCAACUAUUAUACCCAUUUUCUAGGGUUCACUAAUAACCAACUACUAUACCUGCUAGAUUUGCAUUGGAAACAAUUAUUAUACCUGUUUCUCAAGGAUUCACUCAUUCAUCGACCAGAGGGUUUUCAAUCAAUAAAUAUAAGAUAUUCACUUUUAAAUAGUAGGACAGCAAUAAAGUCUUUGAAUGGAUCAGAAUGAUCAAGAGAAAUUUCUUUGAUACAUUGAUAAUGUUUGAUUUUAAAAAGCUCAAUUUGGCAUUAAUAUAUGCUUAAACAAAUACUCCAAGCUCAAAGGAAAGUUUACAAAAUUAACUUAUUACAAAAGUAUUAGUAAGAAGUGUUCGGCAAAAUCAUGAAACUGUGAUCGCUUUAAAUCAAGCUAGGAUACAUGUUGUUCCAUCAUUGUAUAACCAAACAAUUUACUAUGUCUGAAAUCCAUAAAAUAAUUCUGAUCCCAAUAAAGCGAAAUAUUUUGAUCUGACUGUUGCCAAAACAUUGAGAAAACAGAUUUCAAAAAUCAGUGAACCAAUUUCAAAAGCUGAACCACCACUUCCUUUUUGCUUUAUUUUUCCUUGCUUCCCUCAGCUUCACUUUCUCCUCAACAAGUUUCUCUACUCUAUGGUUGCUGUUAUUUGGAGCAUCAAAAAGGUAGCAAGAAGGCUGAAAUCCCCUUUGAUAGCUGAUUAAAUAGCUGAGGUGGCCAGUCAUCAUAAGGAAGCUAGGUGUCAACUAUUGGCUACCAUGCAAGACUGCAAGUAGGAGGUGGCAGCCAAGGAGAAGCAUGAGGUGGUGUUAAGCAUGGUCAUAAGGAUGGGGUGGCAUUAGCAUGAGAUGGCAGCUGCCUGAGGAAAGCAUGAGGUGGCAACUUAUUAGAGAAAACAUGCGGCGGACAUAAUUCUCUAGCAUAGCAAUUUAGUCGUGGAAGAAUUUUCUUAUUCAUUCGUAGGUCUUAUUAAAUGAGUCCUUGCUAAUAUAAUUCCUAUAUGAAAGAUUCAUUAAGGAUUCUAUUAACACAUAUCCGUAGCUGCUACUAUAAACUAAGCACCCAUAAACAAAUGAUCAUCUAAUACCCUAUAUAAAAGCAGAUGGUCAGGGGGCAUUUGGUUCUCAUCUCUUUGGCCAGCAGCCCACCCACUCAAAGUUUCUUCACUUGCUUUUGUUUAUCUUUCCACCCAAUGACUCCGUGACAACUCCUAUUGGCAGCUGGGGUACGGCCGCUAGCUGGCACCACCUCUACUAUUUUUUCCAUUCCAUGCAUCGUGCAUUAAAAAAAAAUCUGUCCUACUGCCCCAUAAGAAAGUUUCUACAUACGGUAGGGCUUUUAGUAACCACCUAACAAUGCAUACCAUAGGAUCAAGUUUUGUUGAUUUGAUAUUUCUAAGUAGGACUUCAUAGAAACCAGGACUCUUUUAAUUUUCAAAAUUAGCAGCUCUCAUCAUCAUCUCAAAUUCCCUUUCAUCACAAGAAAUAAUAAUAACUUACAUAGCUGAUCUAUUUAAAAAUAAAUUUUAGAAAAGAAUCUCCUAUUUUUUUUAAAUUUAGAGAUAAUCAUUAAUUGAUGUGUAAAAUAUGAUGCAUCUACACUAUAUACUUGAUAUAAAUACUUUUUACUGGUCGAAAAUAUGUAUGAAAUAUGUAUUAUAUAUUCUAUAUGAUCUGGGCUAGGGGGCUCACAAACUGCUAGCUUAAAUUUAGUGGUUAUAUUGGACUUCCAUUGCUUUCCAUAUUUUGCAUGCUUGCUUCAUAAGUCCAUAAUCAAUUGCAAACUUUUUCUUUGAAAGCACUUCUUCAUCCAUUGCUUUUUUUGGAAGUUAUUGCUGCCAUAAUUCUGUGUAACAUUGUAUUGAUGUUUAAUGGCUUUUUAAAUGAUUUGGGAAUCAACUCAUCAAUUUGAUGAUCAGGAUGAAGUAUCUGGUAGACUAUCUGGUACUUACAAUGACUCAAGAAAGCAAACAAAUUCCAUGCCGAAGGCUGUAUCACUACCUUCAUCACCCAAUGAAUUCAGGGGUCAGACUUCAGAGAGAAGUGGAGCUUCUGAUUUUCUAAGAACAGAAGAUUUGGUAUCAUCAACUUGGAACAAAGUCUUGCAGUCUUGUCCAUUUCUGAAUAAGCCUUUAUUACCUUUUGAAGAAUGGAAUAUUGAUUUCUCAGAGUUAACUGUUGGAACACGUGUUGGGAUAGGCAAGUACUUUUUUCCAGCUUGAAAUCAUUAUUUACUAUAGUUAAAAUGUUGCAUGGCUGCUUCAUUUCUGUUGAUUUUGCUUCCCGAUUGAUAGUGAAUAUUUCACAUUUUGAGUCUCAUGUUGUAUAUUUGUUUUUUCUCUUCUUUUUCCUAUGCUUGUGUAGCGACAAUAUCCAUCUUUUGCUUCUAGUUCAUUUGUUUCAUUUACAUUAGGGAAAGCUACAUAAGAGAAGAAUUGCUACUUCAUUUUAUUAAAAAUUGAGCUCCUACUUUUGAUCCUUACUGUAGCAUUGCUAUUUCUGGCAUAGUAAGCAUGAGUUAUUUAUGAAGUAGGUUAACUAGCUAUUGAUAUAUUCCUACUUGUUGUUCGCCCAUAUUUAUGUGCAACAUAGAAUUGUUCUCAUGUUAACUGCUUUCCUUUUGAUGUUGACAUUUUCAAUUUGAUGUAGUAUACAAGCUAUUAAAUAGCAUAUACAUUUUUUAAGACUUCAAGUUAGUGGUUACCAUCUUCCACUUCAUGUGUUAAGCAAUUUCUGUUGAAGCUUUGCAGCAGAUAACAGGAACCUCAAUUAAGCUUUAGAUCGUGAACAUAUCCAGUGGUGGCUAACUUCAUCUUCAAAGGAUUAGAGAAACUGGGCCUAUUAUAGACAUGUUUUUGUGUUUCUUCAAUGAAUUGUUGAACGUGUAACCAUUUCAUCUUGACACUCUGAAACCUAUGCAUCCAACACUGUGUCAACUGUCAAAUUCUGUUAUUUCUUUAAAUUCAUGGAUUUUCUUCUGGGAAUCUCAUGUUUGCGCCACUUUCUUGAAUACUUAUUACUCAAACCUCCUAUAUACUUGUGGGUUGUAUUUUGCAAGCCAUUAUGCAAUGUGGUAUGUAUCACAUGUUACUGAUUUUGUAUGGCACGGCUAUCACCUCACCUUUGCCAAACUACAAAAAAUAUGCAGCUUCCAUGGUAUAUGUAGCCAACCUGUUUGCAUUUGCAUCUAGUUAUUUUUUUUUUCAAAAUUGAUUUAUCAUCCAAUAUUUAUAAAGUUUGACUAGUAUCUCUCACCACUUGUACAUAUACUUUGCUGGUAAACUAAUAACAGUUUUUGUUACAGUUAGCAUUUAGGUACUGUAGCGUAUUGGGCUAUUUUGAAUGUACCUUAUCAAUCUAGUUGGGUACCAAACUACCAGUACUAGAACAUUUCUUGGCACAUGCCCCAUACCAACCUUAGUUGCUAGAAGCGAGCUUGGGUGCAGGAUGGGAUUCAGGUGUAGGUAUGCGGAAGCAGAUCUGUGAAAAAAAUUUAAUAUGAAAACAGUUGGGUUGAACUUACCAUCGAGAUUUCUAAGUAGGUUUGGCACACUAAGCAGAAGAUUCAUUUUAUUAAGGUACUGACACAUGGUACUAUUUGAUGUGCCAGCUCUAACAGUGUACCAUGCGUCAUUAUGGGGGUGUAUAGUACUAAUUUAGUGCAUGUUGUACUAUACUAGUAAGGCACUAGUAUAGUAUGGUGCUUGGUACAAUACUUAAACUAUUGGUUAUGAUAAAGUUCGUAUAUAUGUUUGUGGAUGUUGGUUGCAUUAAGUGGCAUGUGGAAGACCAUUUUCUCAAGAUAAUAGACAGGAAGCAAAUCAUGCUUAUCUUGGCUGACUGUGACCGGACAUCAUACAUCAGUGUGAUGCCAUAUAAUUCAAUUCUUUCUGAAGGAGUUCAUGUAUGUUUUAGUAUCCUGAAUCUCAAGAUCUGUAUGAGGUAGGGUUGUGUUGUUGGAACAUGAUGGAAAUUCUUAUCCUAACAACCAUUUUCGAAACCAAGAACUGUGCUGCUUGUCCUUUGUUGCACAGUCAUGCUAAAGCUGUGAUGCAUUUUUGCACAUACAAACAAGCAAACAUGCACCAUGCAUGCAUACCUCUAUGAUCUAUCCAUGUUAUUAAUGUUUUGACAUCCCUUAUUUUUCUUGCCCUUCCUCACCUGACACCAUCUCUCUCUCUCUCUCUCUCUCUCUCUCUCNNNNNNNNNNNNNNNNNNNNCUCUCUCUCUCUCUCUCUCUCUCUCUCUCUCUCUCACUCUCACUCUCACUCACUCACUCACAAACACACACACAUUUCUGUACAUGCAGGCACACUUCAUUUGAUAUUUGCACUUUUCUUAUUUUGCAUUAUAUAUAUUCGCUACUCUGUAUUUGUUUUUCUGCCUGCUAUUUGUUUGCUAUUUGUUGCUGCUCAAUGAACAAUUUGGCUAAUAAGGCUAUUACUAAGAGGGUGAUCAACUAAAAAAUUGUGUUCUUUAUCUGUCUUUAGGGUUUUUUGGAGAGGUCUUCCGCGGCAUAUGGAAUGGUACAGAUGUUGCCAUCAAAGUUUUUCUAGAACAAGAUCUUACAGCUGAAAAUAUGGAAGAUUUCUGUAAUGAAAUAUCCAUACUGAGGUACCAUUUAAUUGUGAUUAAGGGAUAUCAGCAUUUUCUUCCUUUACAUGAUUGUUUGCUGACAAUGUGUUUUUUAUUUUUAUUUUUUAUUUUCAGCCGUCUUCGGCACCCAAAUGGUAAUGUUCUUUACCCAUACUUAUAUUUAGUAUUUUCAUGUAGUGUAUGAUGAUUUUUAUUUUCAUUUAUGUGAUGGGAUCCAUACUAUCAUAUUCUAGGAGAAAUGUGCACUAGGAGCCUCUCGUACCUUAACACAUAGAAGUUUAUAUUGCUGUCUUGGAUACUAUUUUGCAGUUAUAUUAUUUCUUGGUGCAUGCAUGAAACCUCCUCAUUUGUCAAUGGUUACUGAAUACAUGGAGAUGGGAUCAUUGUAUUAUCUUAUACAUUUGAGCGGCCAGAAAAAGAAACUCAGUUGGCGUAGGAG
rnacentral:lncRNA from 1 species